AUUGAACGCUGGCGGCAUGCCUUACACAUGCAAGUCGAACGGCAGCGGACCUUCGGGUGCCGGCGAGUGGCGAACGGGUGAGUAAUGCAUCGGAACGUACCUUUCAGUGGGGGAUAACGUAGCGAAAGUUACGCUAAUACUGCAUAUUCAUUGAGCAGGCAAGCAGGGGAUCGAAAGGCCUUGCGCUGCUUGAGCGGCCGAGUUCAGAUUAGCUAGUUGGGGAGGUAAAGGCACACCAAGGCGACGAUCUGAAGCGGGUCUGAGAGGAUGAUCCGCCACACUGGAACUGAGACACGGUCCAGACUCCUACGGGAGGCAGCAGUGGGGAAUUUUGGACAAUGGGGGCAACCCUGAUCCAGCCAUGCCGCGUGAGUGAAGAAGGCCUUCGGGUUGUAAAGCUCUUUCGGCCGGGAAGAAAUCGCACGGGCUAAUACCCUGUGUGGAUGACGGUACCGGAAUAAGAAGCACCGGCUAACUACGUGCCAGCCGCCGCAGUAAGAC
rnacentral:rRNA from 1 species